AAACUAUUUAUACUUUGUUUUGAAAACAAGGUUUAAGAUUUUCUUGUAGUUUUA
rnacentral:tRNA from 1 species